UUUCUCACUUCAGCAGCACAUAUACUAAAAUUGGAAUGAUAAAGAGAAGAUUAGCAUGGCUCCUGUAUAAGAAUUACAUGCAAAUUCAUGAAGCAUCCCAUAUUUUU